UUUUUUGGGUUUUUUUUGCAAAUAAAGAAUUAUAUAUUCAUUUUCAAUUCGUUCAAUGCCAUAUUGAACAGAGAUACAGUGUACAACGACAAUAGUUUAGAUGUCUUUAGAAAAACUGGUGAUUAAUCAAGUUAGAGGGAGUUCAGUUAGUCAAUGGUCUAUCCUCCUUGGAGGAGAAAAGGGCGAUUAAGUAGCCGAUAAAAGUGGCUGCCAGCUUGAGUCUAGUUUUAAUUUACACUAAAAUAUCCCCAGUGAACAAUUUUGGAGAAUAAUUGCUAGGCUAUUUCAUUCAUUCUUAUAUUGAAAUAUCUUAGCAAAAAAUGUUAUUUGGGUUUAGAAAUUUUUGCAACAUUGAAUAAUAGUGAGAUAUUACCCAUCAGGCUACAAAGGAAAACAUUCAACGUCCGGUUGCAGUUUACACUUAGUUUAGUAUUUUAUCAUGAUUUGCAAAUAUUGCUGAAUGCCCUGUUUUAAGACAAUAAUCUCAAUAUGAUAUUGUUGGUAGUGAAUGGGCCAUUCCAGUUAAUUUCUGGCAGUAGGGGAUGGAUGGGGAGAUUUUUUUUUUAUGCGUAUCAUAAAAAAACAUCAUAAAAAAAUACCUAUUAGAUCUAAAGAGUAAGACCGAUCAGAUGUAGAGUUUCUGUUCAUAUUGGGUGGAUGGGCUUUAGGGGGAUGACCUACUGCUGUAAGACACUCAGAAGUUUUUUGCGUAUAAUUGUACGUGUCAGAUGGGGAAAAAAAAUUACACCCCUAAGGUGUAUACAUUUUACACCCCUCAGAAAGGACUAUCUACCCUUUAGCAGAAGUUUGCUGGAAUGGCCCAAUGUAUUCGGACGUUCAGGAUUCUGUAUCAGUUAUUAAUUUUUCUUUGCUAUAACCUUCACACAUGCAGUAAAUCUAUGGUCUUUAAAUGUAAAUGAGUAUCUGUAUAUACAUUAUAGUAAGUUAACACUGUAACAGUUUGCUUUCAUACAUUUUGAAACAAGUCAGUUCUGAGAAUCU
rnacentral:lncRNA from 1 species